GUAGAGUAACGCCAUGGUAAGGCGUAAGUCAUCGGUUCAAAUCCGAUAAAGGGCU
rnacentral:tRNA from 3 species